GUGUGGUCCAUGCCUGACAAAAGAGGUGCUCCGGCUUGUCCUCAGGAUGACCGAGUGGGAGACAGCUGCACCAGCAGUGGCAGAGACCCCUGACAUCAAGCUCUUUGGGAAGUGGAGCACUGGUGAUGUGCAGAUCAGUGACAUUUUCCUACAGGAUUACUUCUCAGUGAAGGCGAAGUAUGCCAAGUACUUCACAGUGCAGGGCGGUAUGCUGCCAAGCGAUUCCGCAAAGCCCAGUGCCCCAUUGUGGAGCCCCUCACUAACUCCAUGAUGAUGCAGAGCGGCAACAACGGCAAGAAGCUCAUGACUGGGUGCAUCGCCAAGCAUGCUUUUAGACCAUCCACCUGCUCACAGGCAAGAACCCUCUGCAGGUCCUAGUGAACACCAUCAUCGACGGUGGCUCCCGGAUGACUCUCAUGUAUCAGGUGAGCUGGGACAGUGACGGAAGACUGUGGACGUAGCCCCACUGCCCUGUGUGAAACAGGUCAUCUGGUUGCUGUGCACAGAUGCCCAUGAGGGUGCCUUCCAGAACGUCGAGAUCAUUGCUGAGUGCCUGGCAGAUGAGCUUGUGAGUGCCGCCAAGGGCUUCUCCAACUCCUAUGCCACUGAGAAGAAGGGUGAGCCGGAUGGAGCGUGCGGCCAAGUCCAAUCACUGA